GGGAAGAUGACUGAGUUGGUUUAAGGUGAUAGUUUGCUAAAUUAUUGUAUAUUUAUUAUACCGUGGGUUCGAAUCCCAUUCUUCCUU
rnacentral:tRNA from 1 species